UACGUAGGGUGCAAGCGUUGUCCGGAAUUAUUGGGCGUAAAGAGCUCGUAGGCGGUCUGUCGCGUCGGCUGUGAAAACCCGGAGCUCAACUCCGGGCCUGCAGUCGAUACGGGCAGACUGGAGUUCGGCAGGGGAGACUGGAAUUCCUGGUGUAGCGGUGAAAUGCGCAGAUAUCAGGAGGAACACCGGUGGCGAAGGCGGGUCUCUGGGCCAUUACUGACGCUGAGGAGCGAAAGCGUGGGGAGCGAACAGGA
rnacentral:rRNA from 1 species